rnacentral:lncRNA from 1 species
AGCAUGCAUAACAACCUCACUUCCGGUAGAGUUUCAAAACACGACGUUUCAUUCUCGGAAUAAGCCUUCAAGCUUUAGUUUAGGAAAUCUGUUGCAUUAAACAACAAAUACCACUUUUAAAUCGACAAAAUAUUGUGAAGGUGGAUCUCUGUGAUUGAGAUUUCCGCCAAUGGUAUCUCAGACAUGUUUGAUAGGGUUUAAGUAUGGGGACAUGGGGGACAUGGAAGGCUAAAAAAUAGUGAAAAUUGCUUUUUGCUCUUUGGACUCGGUUAAAAUCCUUGCUCUGUGUGUUCUAGCGUUGUCGUCCAUGUACAAGAGUCUUGGAAAUGUAGACGCAAGUGGGGGAUUAUUAAAAUGAGGGACUAAAAUGUUUUAAGGCUACAAAUCUCUGUUUGUCUGUCCGUUUAUGCUACCCUGCAGAACAUGCAUAUCCAGCUUAUAACGGUAUAAGAAGCAACCCCGUACUGGAACACCACCAGCACUGAAUGCAGUCCUUGUGCAAACAUUGUUUUUGGUCAUAGGCCGUUUUGUUUCCCCGCGAAAUUCGUAUUUUGGCGUCUACUGGCAGUAAAAGAAACUGACUACCAUCUGAACAAUGAGUGUUUUGUCAGCUUCUUAUGUUCAAGCAUAGAUAGUCAUUAUCCCAUUAAAACCUGACGGUGGAGUGCCUUCCUGUAAGUACAGGUCUCUAUACACCAAGACUUGCUCUUCAG